AAAAAAAGGUCAUACAUGUAGGACAAACUGAUUCAAUAAAUUCAAUAAGCAUUAAUUAAGUACUUACUAUGUGCAAGACUGUAAGAUUCAGUGGACGUGGGGCCAGAUCUGGAGCCAAGGCUACCAAGUUUUGGUUCUUCUAACUCUGGCUGGGCACUCUAGGACAAGUCACUUAGCUCAAACAUUCUAAAUUGCAGGACAGAAGCCAAUCUGCAUAAGCUUCCUCUUUGGAAACUCCCUACUCUUUGGACCCAAGAAAGGUGUAAAACACUGCUUUAGGGUGGGGGCAGGGGGCUAUAAAGAUAAAAACCAAAACAGCUCCGGCCUUUAAAGAGAUUCCAUUCUACUGAGGUGGAGCUAGGGGAGGUUAAAGAGAAGAGAGAUGCUGUGUAAACAAAUGCCAGGUCCCAAAUAAGGAAAAGCCUUUACUUAUACCUUCCAAAGGCCCUUUGGGGAAGUUGGAGAAGAGGAGUAGACUUUCUGAGCUUCCUGUUCCUGGAUCAGAUUCCUCUAACUCACUAGGGAAAUGCAAGGUCCAAGAAGAAAGACUUCUGGAGGCUGAGACAGAAGACAGAGCUGGAAGGAAACAAACAAUUGGUGGGAAGGAAUAGUGGGCCUGAGACCUGGCUGGGCUUAUACCCUUGAAAUAAAUACUUAGCAGAGCUGUACCACACAGGAAAAACACAAAGUGGAAUUCUCAUGGGCAUUGUGCUAGAGUUGGAUGCAGGAAUGAGAGGAAAUCCUAGUCUCUAGAAUAGACAAAGCAUCUAUGGGAACGUUCUUCCACCCCUGAGAAAAAACAUCACUUGGAGGGAGGGUUAGGGUAUAGAUUGGGUUGAGGUAGCAAGAGAUGGGGGAUACAACAGAAAUUCUGUUAGAGAAGCUGAGACAAAUAACCAAUACCCCGCUUGGCCUCUUGGCUGCUUCGAGCCAUCUGCUGGGAGCUGAGAAGAACUUCAGGAAGAGUGACUGUACAACACAACGUGGAGACACCUGCAUCCAUCGCAUACUAUGGGUGGUUGAACUUAUUGGUUCACAGUGUCUGGAUCCUUUUGGAGGAGAGCUUCGGUGCCAGAUUUAAGACAAAACUGGAAGUUUAAAUCCAAGUCUUCCUUGUUUCAGGGCCUUAUAAAAUUACUGGUUAUAAUAUUUCAGUCUAUGGCUGGGAACACCUUAAGGGUCCCACAAAGAUGCUACAUUGGAGAUCUAAAUUACUCCUGUGAAGUGAUAUAAAAACAAUAACAAGCAUGUAUGCAGCACUUUAAAAAUGAGGAGGACCAGGUACAUCAAUUGAUACAAUUUUUUUUAGAUACUUGAAAUUCAAAAAAAGAUUAGGUAUUUGUACUUGAUACUUCAUGAUUUUUCUUCUAUGUCUUUGUUAUCAAUAAAAAGACUUUUCAAAUAACA
rnacentral:lncRNA from 1 species